rnacentral:rRNA from 1 species
CUUGGUCAUUUAGAGGAAGUAAAAGUCGUAACAAGGUUUCUGUGGGUGAACCUGCAGAAGGAUCAUU